CUGAGUAGCUGGGAUUACAGAUGCAAGCCACCACGCCUGGCUAAUUUUUGUAUUUUUAGUAGACAGGGGUUUCUCCAUGUUGGCCAGGCUGGUCUNNNNNNNNNNUUUUUUUUUUUUUUAAUUUUUUGAGAUGGAGUCUCACUCUGUUGCCCAGGCUUGAGUGCAGCGGGACGAUCUCAGCUCACUGCAACCCCCACCUUGCGGGUUCAAACGAUCCUCCUGCCUCAGCCUCCUGAGUAGCUGGGAUUACAGAUGCAAGCCACCACGCCUGGCUAAUUUUUGUAUUUUUAGUAGACAGGGGUUUCUCCAUGUUGGCCAGGCUGGUCUCGAAUUCCUAACCUCAAGUGAUACGCCCCCUCCCAAAAUGCUGGGAUUACAGGUUUGAGCCACCAUGUCCGGCUAUCAUUUACUUUUCAAAGCAAUAGGCACUAUUGUUCCUCUUUCUAGAUGGAGAGGCGGAGACUCAGAGGCUCAGGCUAAAUAAUCUGCCCAGAGUCGCAAGGUCAGAUGGUGGAGGGGGCUCAAACCCAUUCCUCUCUGGCUCUGAAGCUGCUGUUUUCUUUCUCCUCCAAAAUGUGACCUUUCUCAGGAAGGAUUUAGUUGGUUCUUGCUCCUCGAAAUUGACAUUGCUGCUAGAGAGUCACUGGAGAGUCAUCACCACAUUUUGGGUUGUACCUGAGAGAUGUUUCUGACCCCAGUAAAUGGGGGGUUUAUGUAAGACACUCUGUCUGGAAACUGUAACUGUCAGAGUUGGCGUUGGAUUCAGUGGCAGAUGAUGGCACUACAUGUUGGAUUAUGAGUGGAAAGCUUUGUAUAAAGUAGGAAGUUCAUCUCAAUCUUCUGAUGGAGGAUCAGUUUGGUUUCUUUUGUUAGAGUGAGAAACAGGCAAAGAUAGUGGUUAAAGAGCCCAGC
rnacentral:lncRNA from 1 species